ensembl:lncRNA
AUGAGCACUAAACGGAUUAAAGCAAUAAAUCACCCAAAAAUCAGGACUGAGUCAUUAUUUAUUCCCCCUCAUGUGGAUCCAGACCAUGCUGUUCGUUUCUGUGGGGAACUCGAGGGUUUUAGGCUGAGGUCACUGGGAGGGAGAUUUUUAGCAAAUGAAGACCGAAUGAAGACAGACACAGAUCUUUGUGUGAAACCGGAUCCGAGAGACAGAUGGAGAAAACGUGCGGCCGCGGGAUUUUCCGCAUGGAUCCAUUGGCACCUGGAUUUGGGAAACAGGAUUAGCGGAGUUUUUGGCUGUGCUGAGAUAUGAAGGAGGAUCUUCUGCUGGAGAACCUGUGAUCCUUUCAUCGUAGUCAGUAGCGAACAUCAGAUGAACUUGAAAAAACAUCGGACGGAUGAAAUCCUCAGCAUAUGUAUUACAACGGACAAAGUGUGCAUUCUGAAAUCUAAAUAAAAACUGAAGCUUUGUACACAUAUAGCUCUACCUUCAUUUGUUAUUCACUGUUUGUGUCAUUUUGUAAAAGUGUUUUAACUGGUCCAGUAUUCACUGGUUUGGUCCUGAGACAGAUUCGAGCGUGGACUUAUUAAACCUGCAGGAUGUUUUAAUGGUGCAAAGACCUCUUAGAUGCUAAAAGAUCAAUGCAAAUUAGAUUUCUCAUGUCAUGACCCUUUAAUGCAUUGAUGAUGCCCGCUCAGUGCUGACGGAUCAGGGCUGUGGAGAUCUUCAUCUCAGUCUGUUAUCUGAUGCUACAAUCCCAUCUGCAAGCACUCUGAGGUCAUAAACUUGCUAAAACAAUAGCGGGCGAGCACACGCCGGGUUCAUGUGAAUGCGCCUCUUGAUGCUCUCUGCAGAUGCGACUCGAGGGCAAGAGCAGCGUAAACCAAAAGAGAAAAGAGAAAGAACCGAGUGGAGAGCCAAACAGAAAGAGCCAGUGUUUGUGAAGAACGGAGGACGAGCUGUUUGCUCCAAGACACUGGAGACGUCUUCAUCUGAACACUGAGAUCACUGAGGAGCUUCACAAUGACCCUUCAGCUCUCUCUCUCUCUCUCUCUCACACACACACACACACACACACACACACACACACACACACACACACACACACACACACUCACACACACACACACACACACACACACACACACACACAAACACACACACACACACACACACACACACCCCAUCUGAACACACUCAUGAUUGUUAUUCACUGACACUGCCUUAACUGGAUGAUGAUCUUCUCAAGGUGAGGGAACAUCUGUGUGUGUGUGUGUGUGUGUGUGUACCUCCCUGCAUUGUCAGCAUGAUCAUGAAAGUGGGUGGGACUGUAUGCAAAUCAUGUCACAGCUGUGGGACACCUGGGAUGGAGGGGGAGGAGCUCUCUCAUUAUAGAUGAAGCUGCUGCUGCUCUUUUUUUAGCUUCACUAACCUACAUACAUCAGAACACACACACACACACACACACACACACACACACCAGCUGUGACAUCACUUCCUCCAACUAACCUCUCCAGGGAUCCUCAGACAAUCACGUAUGAGUGUCUGACCUCUGACCUUUGUGUCAGGUGAGACUUUCACUGAAAUCAAAUGCUAAGCACUAUAUGAACAUUUAUAUACAUGUGUCCUGCAGCACAGAAGCAGUCAUCAGUGUCACAGACGUAUAUUUGUAGAAAUACACAACAAUAUACUGUACGAGUCACAAUUAUACAUUAGGAUAUUAAGUAAAGAUCAUGUUCAUGAAGAUAUUUUAUAAGUUUCCUACUGUAAAUAUAUAAAAACUACAUUUUUGAUUAGUAAUAUGCAUUGCUAAGAACUUCAUCUGAACAACUUUAAACAUGAUUUUCUCAAUAUUUAGAUUUUUUUGCUCCCUCAGAUUUUCAAAUAGUUGUAUCUCAGACAAAUAUUGUCCUCCGAACAAACCACACAUCACUGAAAGAUUAUUAAUUCAGCUUUCAGAAGAUGUAUAAAUCUCAAUUCCACGUAAUGGACCCUUCUGACUGGUUUUGUGCUCCUGGGUCUCAUACGUACACGUCUAUACGACGACAGCAUUAAUGCUUUUGAACGGGAACAGUAAUGUAAGUGAUCUUGUAAAUGUGUUAAUUAAGCUCAGUAAUCAAGUAUGCAGUCAUUAGGCCGCGUCCUCUCAUGUUCACUGAGGAAUCACUCAAUCUGAAGUGCUGCUGUUAACAGGAUUCAUCAGGAAAUCAUUUCCUCGGAGACAGAAAAUCCAUCUGACCUUCAGCUCGGGCUGAAAUGAGCUCUUAAGAGGAGCGAGGCCUUCCUCAGAGCACCUGAUCCCUGCGGAUCUGAGACACACACAGCAUCUGAUCAAUCUGAGCCUCACACACCAGACAGAUCUCAGCCUUGGUUUGAUCAGAUAAUAAUAAUGCACAUUUAAAUAGUAGAUUAAAAAGUAUUUAUAUGUUUAUCUGCAUGUCAUGUGAUCAUUAACUGAAAUAAGAGUCACAUGAACGUGAACUUGUUGAUAAAUUAUCAAAAUAUUAGCUUGAAAUCUCAGGGCAACUUAAAAAAAAAAUAUAUAUAUUUAUAUAAAAUAUAUAUAUAUAAAAAUAAAGGGUUUAACAAACCUAGGCUAUAAUAACAUUGUAAGA